rnacentral:rRNA from 1 species
CGGAAGAAGGGAGCUUGCUCCCGGAUGUUAGCGGCGGACGGGUGAGUAACACGUGGGUAACCUGCCUGUAAGACUGGGAUAACUCCGGGAAACCGGAGCUAAUACCGGAUAGUUCCUUGAACCGCAUGGUUCAAGGAUGAAAGACGGUUUCGGCUGUCACUUACAGAUGGACCCGCGGCGCAUUAGCUAGUUGGUGAGGUAACGGCUCACCAAGGCGACGAUGCGUAGCCGACCUGAGAGGGUGAUCGGCCACACUGGGACUGAGACACGGCCCAGACUCCUACGGGAGGCAGCAGUAGGGAAUCUUCCGCAAUGGACGAAAGUCUGACGGAGCAACGCCGCGUGAGUGAUGAAGGUUUUCGGAUCGUAAAGCUCUGUUGUUAGGGAAGAACAAGUGCAAGAGUAACUGCUUGCACCUUGACGGUACCUAACCAGAAAGCCACGGCUAACUACGUGCCAGCAGCCGCGGUAAUACGUAGGUGGCAAGCGUUGUCCGGAAUUAUUGGGCGUAAAGGGCUCGCAGGCGGUUUCUUAAGUCUGAUGUGAAAGCCCCCGGCUCAACCGGGGAGGGUCAUUGGAAACUGGGAAACUUGAGUGCAGAAGAGGAGAGUGGAAUUCCACGUGUAGCGGUGAAAUGCGUAGAGAUGUGGAGGAACACCAGUGGCGAAGGCGACUCUCUGGUCUGUAACUGACGCUGAGGAGCGAAAGCGUGGGGAGCGAACAGGAUUAGAUACCCUGGUAGUCCACGCCGUAAACGAUGAGUGCUAAGUGUUAGGGGGUUUCCGCCCCUUAGUGCUGCAGCUAACGCAUUAAGCACUCCGCCUGGGGAGUACGGUCGCAAGACUGAAACUCAAAGGAAUUGACGGGGGCCCGCACAAGCGGUGGAGCAUGUGGUUUAWUUCGAAGCAACGCGAAGAACCUUACCAGGUCUUGACAUCCUCUGACAACCCUAGAGAUAGGGCUUUCCCUUCGGGGACAGAGUGACAGGUGGUGCAUGGUUGUCGUCAGCUCGUGUCGUGAGAUGUUGGGUUAAGUCCCGCAACGAGCGCAACCCUUGAUCUUAGUUGCCAGCAUUCAGUUGGGCACUCUAAGGUGACUGCCGGUGACAAACCGGAGGAAGGUGGGGAUGACGUCAAAUCAUCAUGCCCCUUAUGACCUGGGCUACACACGUGCUACAAUGGACAGAACAAAGGGCUGCGAGACCGCAAGGUUUAGCCAAUCCCACAAAUCUGUUCUCAGUUCGGAUCGCAGUCUGCAACUCGACUGCGUGAAGCUGGAAUCGCUAGUAAUCGCGGAUCAGCAUGCCGCGGUGAAUACGUUCCCGGGCCUUGUACACACCGCCCGUCACACCACGAGAGUUUGCAACACCCGAAGUCGGUGAGGUAACCUUUAUGGAGCCAGCC